GGGCCAGACUCCUACGGGAGGCAGCAGUGGGGAAUAUUGCACAAUGGGGGGAACCCUGAUGCAGCGACGCCGCGUGAGUGAAGAAGUAUCUCGGUACGUAAAGCUCUAUCAGCAGGGAAGAAAAUGACGGUACCUGACUAAGAAGCCCCGACUAACUACGUGCCAGCAGCCGCGGUAAUACGUAGGGGGCAAGCGUUAUCCGGAUUUACUGGGUGUAAAGGGAGCGUAGACGGCGAUGCAAGUCUGAAGUGAGAGGCGGGGGCCCAACCCCCGGACUGCUUUGGAAACUGUAUGGCUGGAGUGCAGGAGAGGUAAGUGGAAUUCCUAGUGUAGCGGUGAAAUGCGUAGAUAUUAGGAGGAACACCAGUGGCGAAGGCGGCUUACUGGACUGUAACUGACGUUGAGGCUCGAAAGCGUGGGGAGCAAACAGGAUUAGAUACCCCUGUAAUC
rnacentral:rRNA from 1 species